GUUGGCAUAUUGAUAUACGGAUGCAUGUCGAAGGUCAGGAAGUGGUGAACUUGUGAACACAAGUGAAGUGAACACAAGUGAAAUGGCAGUAGCUGCAGUUCCAAAUGAUCUGUAAGGUCUCAGUUGAUUAAGAUGUCAAGCCUGAAGGACAGACAGCCACACACCUAUCUGCUGGUAUUUUACUGUGUCACAUUGUUCUGCAUCUAUGGAGCAGGUCAAGACAUUUCUCCUCCAUGUGAAGUUGGGCUGAUGGUCCGGAGAGGCACGACAUGGACAUCAGCCCCACGACAACGCGUGACAGUCAAGUGUCCCGUCAAAGACUGUGGGAAAUCAGUCAGUGUCACGUGGUGCAAACUGAGCGACACAAACAGAUGUGAAUUGAUUAAUCAUACAGAAAGCGUACAACAGAAUGACAAACGUGUCGGAAAUGAAUUGAUCUCAUUUUUGACUUUCAAACGGAUUUCCAUUCAUGACGCCGGCCUGUAUGGAUGUUCUUUAAAAGGAUACAAAUUUGAGGUGAUCAGUCACACUAUCAACAUCUCAGUGUCAGACGUUUCUCCUCCAUGUGAAGUUGGGCUGAUGGUCCGGAGAGGCAUGACAUGGACAGCAGCCCCACGACAACGUGUGACAGUCACGUGUCCAGUCAAAGACUGUGGGGAAUCCUUCAAUGUCACCUGGUGCAAACUGAGCGACACAAACAGAUGUGAACGGAUUCAUUAUACAGAAAAUGUACAACAGAAUGACAAACGCGUUAAAGAUGAACUGAUCUCAUUUUUGACCUUCAAACGGAUUUCCAUUCAUGACGCCGGCCUGUACGGAUGUUCUUUAAAAGGAUACAAAUUUGAGGUGAUCAGUCACACUAUCAACAUCUCAGUGUCAGACUCCUACCAGGGGGUCAAAAAAUCAAUCGAUACUACAGAUUUGGCACCAAGUGUUGCUGGUGAUGAGGAUCUGUCCCAGCUGGCCUACGUCCUCUGUCUUAGCGUAGCGCUGCUGUAUGCCCACUAACAGUGUUAACUCUCCUGAUUCUUUAAGGAUGGAAACUUUAAAAAAAUAAAAAAAUAAUCCCUGUCUGAAUUACUGUGGUAACAUUUCUAGAUCUUGCCAAGUGAAAAUGGAGCAUUUGCAAAUUAUAGCCAGUAAUGUUGCAUCUUGCUAUGACUAUUGAAACUUUGCUUGGACUCCUUGUACAAUGGGGUCAGUCAUUCCUCCCUGUUUCGUCUUCAACUUGUCCACAAUGCCAAAACCAGGCUCCUGAAAGGUACCUGGAAGAGAGACCGCUAUUCUGGCCUUCCUCCACUGGCUCCCAGUAAGGUUCAGAAUGGAUUUAAAGUUCUCCUGUUUGUUUCUAUAUCUAUAUGUUUAGAUAUAAAUUCAGCAUUGCAAUAAAAUUCUUGGUCGAU
rnacentral:lncRNA from 1 species